GGAGCGUAGAGAAGCGCAAAUGUAGGCAUAAGUAACGAUAAUGCGGGUGAGAAACCCGCACACCGAAAGACUAAGGUUUCCUCAGCGAUGCUAAUCAGCUGAGGGUUAGUCGGGACCUAAGGCGAACCCGAACGGGGUAGUCGAUGGACAACAGGUUAAUAUUCCUGUACUGGCAUAUUCAGUGAUGGGGUGACGGAGUAGUGAAAGCGCUGCGGACUGACGGAAUAGUCCGUUGAAGGGUGUAGGUAUUAAGACAGUAGGUAAAUCCGCUGACUUAGCUGAACCUGAUAGUACCACAAUCCUUCGGGAGCGUGGAUAUGGACCUAAUCAGACUUCCAAGAAAAACCUCUAAACUUA
rnacentral:rRNA from 18 species